UUGGUCCGUAGCAAGGAAAUGGGGAACCAUUAAAUAAAUGUCUUAGACAGCAGAUUUGCUCUUAUUCUAUUUUUGUCGUAUUUUUUCUAUUUUAAACUUGGCACCAAGCUGCGAGCAAGAAACGUUGUUAUUCUUGCAAACAAAUCACAUGCAUAGUCGUUACCACAUGCGGUUGUGAAUGGACCGUGAAAAAAAACAAUAAUCGCAGCCAAAAUUAUAGUUGCUAUGUACUUAGACUAAACUUAGUAGCAAACUUAGCUAUGUAUAUAAAGCGUGCAUCAAUUAUUGUUAAUUUAGACCAUGCAUAGGCAACUGUCUUGAAUAAUUUAUAAGAUUGCAUGUAUGGGUCCAUACUCCAUAGUUUAAAAAGGUUAAAACCUUAUUACAUGCAUGGUAACUAACUUUAUUUAUACUGGAUAACUCAAUCAGUUCUAUUAAAAACUGUUCUCCCUAUAGAGGUCCAGUGAGGGUCAUCCUAGCUUUAUUGACAGGAGGAAACCUACACUAAGCUAACUUUAUAUUUAUA